UGGUAGUUUGUGUUCUGUGGAUGUUCUGAUGUCCAGAGGAGGUUCUGGUCCGUGUGUGUGGGUUUCCUGUAAACUGUUAUUUUGAUGCUGCUGUCUUCUCUGUGGUGAAUGUUCAUGUCCAGGAAUGAAAUGGUCCGGUUUAUUUCCUCUUCCUGUGUGGAUUGUAUGUUUCCCGUGUCGUCCAUGUUGUUCAGAUGAUCAGUGAGUUCUUGUGUGUGUCCAGAUUUUAUUAUUUCCAGGAUGUCGUGGACGUAUCUUCUCCAGAGUGUGGGUCUGCAGAGCGGGGAUGGCUUUGGUUUCCAGGUCCUCCAUGAAAAAGUUACUCAUUAUGGCUGAAAGUGGAUCUUUUUUUCAACUUUAUUUUACCAGGUGGAUUUGGCAAUAAACCGGAGUAAUGUGAUGAUGUCGUCUACUGGGAGCAUUAAAACUUUGUCUGCAGAGAGAAAAGAACGACUCCGUUUUUUGCCAGACUGGAGGAUGUUGGAGGGAGUCUGUUAAUCUCUCUGGACCUGACAUUUGAAAACCUCCACCUCUCCUCACCCUCCCAGCCCACUGAUGUGAGGAAAUCCAGCUCUGAACAGACUGAACUUCUAAAUCCCUCCUGGAAGCUUCACCCUGAACAGACAACUGCAACGCCGUGGUAACGGGCAGAUUACAGACGGAUAUAACCCAACCGGCCUCUGGGGCGGCGUUUGGUGAAGUUAUCUCUGGAGGCUGCUGGAGGAUAAAUGUGGAGAUCUGCAGAUAGAAGCCAAGAAGAUGGACGGAGCUGGAGAGGAAGAAGAUCUACAGUGGUGUUCAAAAUAAUAGCAGUCCCACAUCACUUUAUCAGGACCGUCAGUGUUGAUUUAACUUAUUUCUGUAAGUUAUACCUUGAAAAAAGAAACGGGGUGCUGGGGGGAGGAGGGGAGCAGGGCCGUGCAGAGACCUUUGGAGGGGCAGGUGCUCAAAGUUAAAAGGGGGCACAUGGAGCAAGAAUUUGAAACAUCAUACAGAAACAUACCUCAUAAUACAAGGUGCAGCAGUGGCUAAGUCUCAGGACUGCUGAUCAGAAGGUCAUUGGUUCAAACUCUGACCUGUGAUGUAGUGUAUGUGAGAAAAAUUAUUAUUUUGAAGCUGAAUUUACAUCACCAUUAGACACUGGACUGUUUAACUGUGGCUACUCUUCCUGGAGUCCUUGCUUUUAAAUUUCAUACCUUUUCCAGACAUGUACUGUAGAGCCACGGAUUUGCUCCAUGGUGCUGAUUCAUAAUCUGCCCUUUAUUAUUCGUAGUGCUAAUAAUAAGUUUAAAAACAAUUAAAUGAUAUAGGAAUCAUGUAUUUAAAUGUAUUUGUACUUUUAUUCAGUUUGACUAUCCACUUUGCACAAGACAGCAAGGUUCUAAAAGUUUUAUAUUUUAUAUUUAGGCAUAUUAUAUUUAAUUUGUCUAUAUAUACAAAUGUUAUAAACAAGUACUGAUAUCUUUAAAUGAGAGGUUGAGAAAAUCACAAUUCAAAUUCUUCUAAUUAUUAUUGUAUUUAUACUGCAAUAGUCCAAAAUUAUGUGAAAAUGCAUGUACGUAGUUUCAGUGAAAUAACAUAACCUCUGUCUCAUUGCCUCUAGAAACAGGAAACACACUGCAACUCACUGACAGUAAAAUAAUACAUCUCUCUGAUGCACUUUGCCCAUGACAACAGAAACAUACAGAAACAAAAAGAAGCCUGGCAGACUUUAUCCUCUCAGCAGCUGUGUGGUUAACUGGCGGCUAGAACUGAUGACAGGUGUGUGUGCAGAGUCAGACACACACACACAGGAUGCUCACUUCAUCAGUCAUCUUGCAAAAAUACACCGUACAUAAACGAAUCCCGCUGCAGAACCUCCUCUCCAUCAGGACCAUCAGUUGUUGAUGUCCUCCCUCGGGUCUCCGGUUUCUAGACUAGCGGCGCUAGCGCAGAGCUACAGGGAACAUCUGGACCCCUCAGAGCAGUGGGGGACGUCUACGUAGAUCACGUGACCGACCGACGGUAGAUCUGAAUUAUUUUUAGUUUUGUUUUAUUUAUUAUUUUGGUCCUCAGAGACUUUUACACACACACACACACGCACACACACACACGC